UACGGGGGGGGCAAGCGUUGUUCGGAAUUACUGGGCGUAAAGGGCUCGUAGGCGGCCAACUAAGUCGGAUGUGAAAUCCCCAGGCUUAACUUGGGAACUGCAUCCGAUACUGGAUGGCUUGAAUCCGGGAGAGGGAUGCGGAAUUCCAGGUGUAGCGGUGAAAUGCGUAGAGAUUAGGAAGAACACCAGUGGCGAAGGCGACUUACUGGACUGUAACUGACGCUGAGGCAUGAAAGCGUGGGAGCAAACAGG
rnacentral:rRNA from 1 species